AUUGAACGCUGGCGGCAUGCCUUACACAUGCAAGUCGAACGGCAGCAUGGAAGAGCUUGCUCUUCUGAUGGCGAGUGGCGAACGGGUGAGUAAAGCAUCGGAACGUACCGUGUAGUGGGGAAUAACGUAGCGAAAGUUACGCUAAUACCGCAUACGCACUGAGGUGGAAAGCAGGGGAUCGAAAGACCUCGCGCGAUUAGAGCGGCCGAUGCCUGAUUAGCUUGUUGGUGGGGUAAAAAGCCCACCAAAGGCGACGAUCAGUAGCUGGUCUGAGAGGACGAUCAGCCACACUGGGACUGAGACACGGCCCAGACUCCUACGGGAGGCAGCAGUGGGGAAUUUUGGACAAUGGGGGAAACCCUGAUCCAGCAAUGCCGCGUGAGUGAAGAAGG
rnacentral:rRNA from 1 species